AUUGAACGCUGGCGGCAUGCCUUACACAUGCAAGUCGAACGGCAGCACGGGAGCAAUCCUGGUGGCGAGUGGCGAACGGGUGAGUAAUAUAUCGGAACGUGCCCAGUCGUGGGGGAUAACGCAGCGAAAGCUGUGCUAAUACCGCAUACGAUCUCUGGAUGAAAGCGGGGGACUCGCAAGGGCCUCGCGCGAUUGGAGCGGCCGAUAUCAGAUUAGCUAGUUGGUGGGGUAAAAGCCCACCAAGGCGACGAUCUGUAGCUGGUCUGAGAGGACGACCAGCCACACUGGAACUGAGACACGGUCCAGACUCCUACGGGAGGCAGCAGUGGGGAAUUUUGGACAAUGGGCGCAAGCCUGAUCCAGCAAUGCCGCGUGCAGGAUGAAGGCCUUCGGGUUGUAAACUGCUUUUGUACGGAACGAAACGGUCUCUUCUAAUAAAGGGGGCUAAUGACGGUACCGUAAGAAUAAGCACCGGCUAACUACGUG
rnacentral:rRNA from 1 species